GGAGAGGUGUCCGAGUGGCUGAAGGAGCACGCCUGGAAAGUGUGUGUACGCUAAUCCCGUACCCAGGGUUCAAAUCCCUGCCUCUCCG
rnacentral:tRNA from 1 species